ACUCGCAUAGUAUAAGAGUAAUUACGCUUAAUUUUCAAUUAAGAGAUUCGGAUUGUCCCAGAUGCGCGUA
rnacentral:tRNA from 1 species